ACUAUCCUCUCUCUCUCUCCGCAAAACAAGAUACCGCACGGGUCUGCUCUUCUUCCUCCCUGUCUGCUCUUCUUCCUCCCGACUCUAGUCCCCACACUGGGGACCCGAUGGAGCUGCCUCCCCGAGCUUGCCAACACGGAUCUGCCAACCCGGCAUCCCUCCGGCGAGCCUCGUCCGGUCUGCGCUCAAGAACUCCGGCGCCGUGGCGGGACGCGGCUCCAGCGAGCUCUAUUCCGCCGCGACCGGACGGUGGGGUGUCCAUGUGCGACGACAAGUUUCUCUUCCUCUUCCUGCCGCCGCCGCAGCCACGAUGCCGAUGGUGAGCAUCGGCCGGGACCGUGUCUUCGCCGAUCUGGCGCAGGAGGAGUUUGAGGCGCUCUGCUUCGAGUUCGGCAUCGAGUUGGACGAUGUGAUAUGUGGGAGACGGCUAUGGUCUUGGCGCAGCCGAGACUCCCUCCUCGUGCAUGCAAGAUGGGUUGACAAGGCAUCAGUCUCAUGGGCAUGUGAGCACGGGCUUUUUGCUGAUGGUGUCGUCGAGCACCCAACGCUGUCCUGACCUGAGCACUUGAGCAGAUAUGAGUUCAGGGCCACAAACUAUUUCAGAUUGGAACAGGACCAGGGGAUGCAACAACUUGCAUCUAGGGCGAGCGAUGGUUUCAGACCCAUCUUUUUUCUCUUGUCUUGUGCAUCACAUGUAGCUUUAUUUUCUUUCUUUAUCUGAACUAUACAGCAGAGAUUUGCAAAUUCAGGUUACAGAAGAAAAACAUUAUAAUGCUCUAGCUUCCUCUGUUCUAUUGAUUAUUUGUUAAUUGCCUUUUUUUCUUUCCAGCAUACAAGAUCUUGUUUAGCCAUUUUAGUUUAGGAUUUAAACUAUUUAUUGACAUUUAAAGGAUACAAGUGCCUGAAUUUGUGUGUCCAUGUCUGUUCUUGCUGUUUUUGCACAUUGCAAAUUGCAGAAGUGGGAAGUGUACUCUGGUUAUACAUCAGGUAAAGAGCAAGGCAUUUGAAAACACAUGUCCAGCUAUGUUGUGCCAUUGAUUUGAGGGGAAGGAGGAGGUAGAAAAAGAUGACAUUGACUAAAAACCGUUGAUAUUUCUUUCAAAAAAGACAAUCUACAGCUGAAAUGGAAAUACCAACAUAUGCCCCUUCCAACUAUCUCAAGUUCAAUACAUAUAACCCUCAUCGUUUUUUUUACAAAUUUGUUCAAGUUACAGUGAAGUGAGUACAAUGAUGGACUAUCCCUUGAUACUAAACAAUAUGUUUGGGUAUUUUUUCAAAUUUUUUGUGUGCAACAAAAGAAGAAUGUUGCAUGCUUAUUGUCACUGGAGAUCUACAGAACAGUUGUAAGCUACAACUGUCUCACUUGCAUAUAUCCUAUGAUAUUUGAGUUGUAAUAAGUACUGUCAAUUUCUCUCUACCUCCUGCAUUUUAGUCAUGCUGUUAACAGAACACUUGAACAUAGUGAGGAAAUAUACUUUUGGGAACAUAAGAAAGCCCAUAUGCAUUAGCUUGAGAUAUGACAUGAGAUUAGCUAAUUAUUGCAAAUCCACCUGAACCCAAACACUUGAGCAUCUCCAAGAGUAUCCAAUAAUCCUUCCUGAUCCAUGAUUUCUCUUUUGUGACACAAUCUGAAUGUUUACAUGACCUUGUAGUUGAUUUCA